rnacentral:rRNA from 1 species
CCCUUAGAUGUUCUGGGCUGCACGCGCGCUACACUGACAUGUUCAACAAGUUUCUCCUAGUUCGACAGGACUGGGAAAUCUUUGAACGCAUGUCGUGAUAGGGAUAGAUCAUUGCAAUUAUUGAUCUUGAACGAGGAAUUCCUAGUAAACGCGAGUCAUCAGCUCGCAUUGAUUACGUCCCUGCCCUUUGUACACACCACCCGUCGCACCUACCGAUUGAAUGUUUCGGUGAAGAUUCCGGAUAGGACUGAUUUGAUUUAUUUCAUUUCUGACCUAAAAGCUAUCUAAACCUCAACAUUUAGAGGAAGGUGAAGUCGUAACA